UAGAGUAUCUCCAAGAUGAGCAGUUUCAUUAAAAUGUUACUAUUUUUAAACUAAUUUCAGACGUGGGUUCUUCUUCUCGGCGGCACCAAUGAGCUGCUGUACUUCACGGACUGAAUGAAGAAAUCAGAAGCUCAGGCCUCCAAACUACCGUCUAAAAGCUGGAGAAUGAACCGCCAGGCUCCGCCCCCAACGGACAGCGGCGUCACACCAGGAGGACAAAGAGAACCAUGUUCAAAAGGAAACGUUUAGGACGCAUGUGUGCGCACAUACCAAUAUGGCUGGAGCUUUUAUUGCACAAAAGAUGACAGUUGAAGUUCCGUUACAAACAAAUCAAAGCUUUGUAAACAGUGAAGCAGCUCUGAGCCCCCGUCGCCACACGCGUGUUCACCGGCGCUCAGCAAGUAAGUGUGUCCACGAGAGACAACCAGUGAGAGUGCCUACAAGAAGCAGAGGGAGGCUGGGACACGGGAGGGCGGGGACACGCUGGGACACAGGAAGGGUUUAAUGAUUUUAAAAAACCCAUUAAAAACGUUUGGCUUUGAACUCAAAUGAGAAGGACACCCUUUAGUUUGCUCUCUUUCACUCAGGACGAACGCAAAGCUUUGAUCGCGGUCUCGGGUCGUGGACGCGGCACUCGGAUCACUUUAAGUCUCACUGUCCUCCAUGUGAGCUAGACAAGUGGAUAUGUUGACUCUUGAGUCCCGGGACGGUCCUUGUGGCGCGUCCCCCUUCCAGCGGAGCAGUUCAGGGGGUCCACAGAGCGCCCCCCCCACUCCAUGUACGUGAUGGGGACAGCGCUUGUCAUUGGACAGAAAACAGACAGAAAUGGCACAUUGCUUGUUGUUCUCUAUUCUACAUGUAAAUAGGAUUUAGGAUUUUUUUGUUGGCGGUGAGGCAGAAGGAAGAAGCCGGAGACGCAGCACGAGUCUUUUCCAGGAGAUGAGGCGGCGUCUCUAUGGCGUCUGUGCCAUGCCGCGACUAGACUUGAUCUUCUCCAGUCUUUUAGAGAGUUCUAUCAAGUUCGGAUCGUUGCCGUUCUCCAGAAUCUCUCCGUCCGGGCUCACACUGCUGUCGGUGCCGUUCCGUUGUGUCUUCAGAUCCAG
ensembl:lncRNA